UUAUGUCAUAGUGAAUGAUUCUUUCUACACAUUCUUCAUGUAAGUAAGCUAUGCCCUUUGCUGUCCCAACUGCUAUAUGAUGCAGCUUCUCCCACUCGACUUCUUGUGCCUCGCUGAACAAGUACUUGUCCAGGGAUCCAUUUUCCAGGUAUUCGUAGACAAGUGCGCUCAUGAACUGAUCAUAGCAGAAACCAUAGAGCCUGACUAGAUUGAUAUGGUAAGUCCUGCCUAUGGUUCCCACCUCUGCCAUGAACUGUUCUUCAGCUUGUCUGUCUGGACUCCUAUUCAGGACCUUCACUGCAAUCUUGACCCCAUUGGGGAACUGCCCCUUGUAAACCAUUCCAAACCCUCCAGAACCCAGUGUUGUGGUGUAGUUAUCAGUGAAGCUGCAUAGCUGCUGAGCAGUGAACCUGACCGGCUUCUCCCUCGCUAAUUCUUGGAAGAACUUCUCCAUUGUUGGUGUAUCAACCUCCCAAACCUGUAUCGUAUUCACAGGUGGGGGAGCCACUGCCGCUUGCAAUUCUGUCACAAUAGCCUUCUUCGCUUUCCUUGCACAAACGAGAGAGAUAACAGCGAUAAUUCCAAGCACCACCAAGCUCAAUAUUACGGCUGCAAGUCAUGGGAGUUUGAACCAGUAAGAUCCCAACUUCAAACUGUUGUCUGUCAAUAUCGAAUUCCUUCGUAUUAUUGUCGCAGAAAGAACUUACCUCCUGCUGUAAUCCCAGAGUUGUUGCUUGGAGGAGAGUAGUCAUAUGAAGACAUCUACAAAGGUAGCAAAAUGGACCAAGUUAGAUAGGACUAUACAAUUCUCUAUUCAGUCAAGUAUAGAUAUAGAUUUUGUUUACAAAUCUCGCUGGCACCUUGGCUAGGUGAGCAAUUAAUUAACCAAAAAUUUCUUCAUUAGUUCAAGGUUUUGUGCAGUGCAGGCGUAUCAUACAUGACCCUUUAACAUACUAAGAACAAUCAAGUUAGUGAACUCACCCUCUUCGGAAGAUCACUCCUUGCUUUUCACCACCAGAAAUUGCAGCACAGCUUCUCUUUGCUCUUUGCUUCCUCCCAUUGCCUUUGUAUAUAUAUAUAUAUAUAUACAUGUAUUUGAGGGAGGAAGUUUUGGGGAAAUUUCUGUCAUAGGCCUUCAACUUGGUAGUCAACAAGGGGAAGGGAAAGAUCUACGGAACCUCUCUCUUUCACUAUCAAAUUCAAAGUGAAGAAGGAAAGAAAUUUCUCAAAAAAUUAUUUUAAUGGUAUGGAUUAUUAUGCCUAUGAGGGGAAGUUUCGGAAAAAUUCCUGCCAUUGACCUUCACGGUUGCAUUCAAAGAAUCAAAAAAUAAGAUAGAUAAAGGCAAGGAGAGAGCUACACCACCUUCGGCAAUGACAUGGAUUGGUAUCACGAAAUUUUUUAGAAAAGUCACUGACAGGCUUAAUUGCAAGGAGAUAUGGGAACUAAAUACAAGAGAAAUAUAAAUUUGUAAAAAAAAUUAUUAAUAUUUUUAAAUAUAAAAAUAUCUUCAUAUAUUAUCAUUUCUUUUAUAUCUUAAAUACAAAAUAAAUUACAUUUUAGUAUGUUUUCAAAAUUUUCAUAUUAUUACUAAGUACAGAAAUUUAUAUUAUACAUGCAUUAUUUUAUUUAAAUUCAAUAAAUAUAUUAUUACUUAUUUUAUUAUUUGCAAAGUUUUUUUAACAUUUAUAUGAGUUUUGAUUAAUUUUCAUAUAUUUUUUGUAACAAUAUUUCCCAUAUAUCCGAAAUAUCUAUAAAAUUUGACUAUUAAUAUAUAUGAGAAAACCAAUUUUUCAUUCUUAUUAUUAGAACGCAUAUGUAUUUUCUAAUUUUAUCUUUUAUUAUUAUUUUAAAUUUUAAAUUAUUAACUCUUUACUUUUAAUUUUUAAUUCUUAAUCUUUAAUUUUUAACGUUUAAAAUUUUAAAUUUCUAUUUUAUCUCAUUUGGGUAUAGUUCCUAUUUUUUAUUUUUAAAAUCAAAGCAAUAAUAACCUAUAUAUAAAAAAAAGUAAAAACUCUUUUACAAAAAAUAUAUAUUUAUGUUAUAUCUUCAAGAAUUUCUUUUAAAAAUAAAAAUAAAAAUUUCAGAUAGUAAACAUUACUUGUUAACGUAAGCUUCUAAAAGUUAUAAUAUAAAAAUUAUUACUAUUUUCUAUUUUUAAAAAUUGAAACAUGAAGCAUUCAAACAUAUACUAAAUUUUUAAUUUUUUAAAUAUUUAAUAAUAAUAAUAAUAAUAAUAAUAAUAUUUAGUAAUAAAUACAUAUAGGUCUAUUGAUAUUUAAUAGGCCGGCCACUAACCACCCAACCUAUUGAAUGCUGAUUGGGAUAUAUAUAUAUAUAUAUAUAGGUCUUUGUUGACCGGGUAUUAGAAGAAGUGAUGAUAUCAAUGCGUUGGCUAAGUUUGGUAGAGGAAAUUUCCUUGUUAAAUGUGGUAUUUGAAAUGCCACUCCCACCUUUCUCUUUCACCGUCAAGUGGAGAAAGAAAGAAAAGAAAGGACUAACAAGAACUUAAUGGUAUUUGGCUAUUUGCAGGGAUUUAGCAUGGUCUUCCCAUGAGCUCUGCUCAUCCUCACUCCACCAAAUUAGUACGCAAACGCAUCAUCAAAACUUAGCUGAACUUAACGAUAUAUAAGCAUAUUGCCCUAAAACAUGAUCAACUUACAUGGUGUAUAGCUAACACAAAGGCAACUACAAUAAUAUUAUACUACAAAUUUUUUAACAAACUCUACUUCAAUUUUCUUCUCAUUUCAUAGUUGAAACUUGAACCUCUCUCCCUUGAGUGCUUCCAUAGUUAAGAACUAGCUACUUGUAUCUCAUACUUGGCCAUGAUUGGUGUGGUUUCCUUGUACCAAAUUGAAUUGGUUUCUUUACUUGUUGCAUAGCUUGAACUUGUACCGGUUUCAUUUGCCUGCUGUAACACGUUUAUACCUACUGAGUAUAGAUAAUGAAACGGUUUUGGUGGUGGCAUGACUUCUACUCCUCCCUCCAGCAUCUUUACCACAGCACUCAUCAGAGGCCUUGAGUCGGGUGAGUCCUGAACACACCAUAGAGCCACCAUAGACAUUCUCUCUGCUUUCUCCCUGUCCUUCUCUUCAAUUCCACAGGCCACAGUCAUUGCUGCUAAAUCCCCUUUCUCAUACUCUUCCCAAACAUGUUUGGGGAACCAAUCCAUGCUCUCAUUAGAACCAAUUUUGGCAUUCCUCCUCCUCCCAACUAUCUCAAACAACAGCAUCCCAAAGCUAUAAACAUCACAUUUAUGGGUUAUAGGAUGGUUUUUCAGUAAAAAUUCUGGGGCCGAAUAGCCUGGAGUCCCUCUAUAUCCUGAGACUGUCAGGUGGGUGUUGUCCCUGUUACAAAGCUUAGCAAGCCCGAAGUCUGCAACCUUAGGAAAGAAGUUAGCAUCAAGGAGAACGUUGCCAGGUUUUAUGUCAUAGUGAAUGAUUCUUUGUACACAUUCUUCAUGUAAGUAAGCUAUGCCCUUUGCUGUUCCAACUGCUAUAUGAUGCAGUUUCUCCCACUCGAUUUCUCGUGCCUCACUGAACAAGUACUUGUCCAGGGAUCCGUUUUCCAGGUAUUCGUAGACAAGUGCACUCAUGAACUGAUCAUGGCAGAACCCAUAGAGCCUGACUAGAUUCAUAUGGUAAGUUCUGCCUAUGGUUCCCACCUCUGCCAUGAACUGUUCUCCAGCUUGUCUGUCUGGACUCCUAUUCAGGAC
rnacentral:lncRNA from 1 species